CCUACGGGAGGCUGCAGUGGGGAAUCUUGCACAAUGGAGGAAACUCUGAUGCAGCGAUGCCGCGUGAGUGAAGAAGGCCUUUGGGUUGUAAAGCUCUUUCGUCGGGGAAGAAAAUGACUGUACCCGAAUAAGAAGGUCCGGCUAACUUCGUGCCAGCAGCCGCGGUAAUACGAAGGGACCUAGCGUAGUUCGGAAUUACUGGGCUUAAAGAGUUCGUAGGUGGUUGAAAAAGUUGGUGGUGAAAUCCCAGAGCUUAACUCUGGAACUGCCAUCAAAACUUUUCAGCUAGAGUAUGAUAGAGGAAAGCAGAAUUUCUAGUGUAGAGGUGAAAUUCGUAGAUAUUAGAAAGAAUACCAAUUGCGAAGGCAGCUUUCUGGAUCAUUACUGACACUGAGGAACGAAAGCAUGGGUAGCGAAGAGGAUUAGAUACCCUUGUAGUC
rnacentral:rRNA from 1 species